rnacentral:rRNA from 1 species
GAGAGAGACAUGCGCGCAUAUCAAUAAGCGGAGGAAAAGAAACUAACUAGGAUUCCCUCAGUAACGGCGAGUGAAGCGGGAAGAGCUCAAAUUUGAAAUCUUCAAGGUUCUACCUUGACGAAUUGUAGUUUAAAGAAGUGUUUUCUGUUGAAGUUUUGGUAAAAGUUCUUUGGAAUAGGACAUCAUAGAGGGUGAGAAUCCCGUAUUUGACCAUUAUUUCCAGCUUUGUGAUACACUUUCAAAGAGUCGGAUUGUUUGGGAAUGCAGUCCAAAAUGGGUGGUAAAUUUCAUCUAAAGCUAAAUAUUGGCGAGAGACCGAUAGCGAACAAGUACCGUGAGGGAAAGAUGAAAAGAACUUUGAAAAGAGAGUUAAACAGUACGUGAAAUUGUCAAAAGGGAAGCGUUUGACACCAGUGUUGUUUUUCUGAAAAUCAAUUAAAGAACUGUUUAUGCUAAGCUGUUUAGACUUUAUCAGCUAAUCUGUUUAGUUUUGAGCUUUUCUUUAAUGCACUUUUCAGUUAACAAGUCAACAUCAAUUUCUUUUGCUGUAAAAAAGCUUGAGGAAGGUGGCUUGAGAUUCGUCUUAAGUGUUUAUAGCCUCUUGCCUAUGCAGUCGGAGAGAUUGAGGUCUGCAGCGUAGAUCCUUCGGGGCUAAAUGCAUUUGUGCUAAGUUAUAGCAUUUUAUAGACAACUUGUUGACUAUGAUUUGUCUUGUAGCUUACUCGCUUAUGUUAUUUUACCUACGCUUAGGAUGUUGAUGUGAUACUGCGAGCA